UAGAGGAGGCAGGUAGCCUAGUGGUUAGAGUGUAGAGGAGGCAGGUAGCCUAGUGGUUAGAGUGUAGAGGAGGCAGGUAGCCUAGUGGUUAGAGUGUAGAGGAGGCAGGUAGCCUAGUGGUUAGAGUGUAGAGGAGGCAGGUAGCCUAGUGGUUAGAGUGUAGAGGAGGCAGGUAGUCUAGUGGUUAGAGUGUAGAGGAGGCAGGUAGUCUAGUGGUUAGAGUGUAGAGGAGGCAGGUAGUCUAGUGGUUAGAGUGUAGAGGAGGCAGGUAGUCUAGUGGUUAGAGUGUAGAGGAGGCAGGUAGUCUAGUGGUUAGAGUGUAGAGGAGGUAGGUAGCCUAGUGGUUAGAGUGUAGAGGAGGCAGGUAGUCUAGUGGUUAGAGUGUAGAGGAGGCAGGUAGACUAGUGGUUAGAGUGUAGAGGAGGCAGGUAGACUAGUGGUUAGAGUGUAGAGGAGGCAGGUAGUCUAGUGGUUAGAGUGUAGAGGAGGCAGGUAGUCUAGUGGUUAGAGUGUAGAGGAGGCAGGUAGUCUAGUGGUUAGAGUGUAGAGGAGGCAGGUAGUCUAGUGGUUAGAGUGUGGAGGAGGCAGGUAGCCUAGUGGUUAGAGUGUAGAGGAGGCAGGUAGUCUAGUGGUUAGAGUGUAGAGGAGGCAGGUAGUCUAGUGGUUAGAGUGUAGAGGAGGCAGGUAGCCUAGUGGUUAGAGGAGGCAGGUAGCCUAGUGGUUAGAGGAGGCAGGUAGCCUAGUGGUUAGAGGAGGCAGGUAGCCUAGUGGUUAGAGGAGGCAGGUAGCCUAGUGGUUAGAGGAGGCAGGUAGCCUAGUGGUUAGAGGAGGCAGGUAGCCUAGUGGUUAGAGGAGGCAGGUAGUCUAGUGGUUAGAGUGUAGAGGAGGCAGGUAGUCUAGUGGUUAGAGUGUAGAGGAGGUAGGUAGCCUAGUGGUUAGAGGAGGUAGGUUGCCUAGUGGUUAGAGGAGGCAGGUAGCCUAGUGGUUAGAGGAGGUAGGUUGCCUAGUGGUUAGAGGAGGCAGGUAGCCUAGUGGUUAGAGGAGGUAGGUUGCCUAGUGGUUAGAGGAGGCAGGUAGCCUAGUGGUUAGAGGAGGCAGGUAGCCUAGUGGUUAGAGGAGGCAGGUAGCCUAGUGGUUAGAGGAGGCAGGUAGCCUAGUGGUUAGAGGAGGCAGGUAGCCUAGUGGUUAGAGGAGGCAGGUAGCCUAGUGGUUAGAGGAGGCAGGUAGCCUAGUGGUUAGAGGAGGCAGGUAGCCUAGUGGUUAGAGGAGGCAGGUAGCCUAGUGGUUAGAGAGUUGGGCCAGUAACCGAAAGGUUUAUAGAUUGAAUCCCUGAGCUGACAAGGUAAAAAUCGUUCUGCCCCUGAACAAGGCAGUUAACCCACCGUUCCCCGGGAGGCCGUCAUUGUAAAUAAGAACGUGUUCUUUAACUGACUUGCCUAGUUAAAUAAAGGUUAAAAUAUGUUUUUUUUUCUUCAUUAAAAUCAACAGACACACCGUUCUCUGACUGUGCCAGCAUUGGGCUCAUUGGUUGGCUGCUGAGGGGGAGGAACGGCUCACAACAACGGCUGGAACGGAGUCAAUGGAACGGAGUCAAUGGAACGGAGUCAAUGGAACGGAGUCAAUGGAACGGAGUCAAUGGAACGGAGUCAAUGGAACGGAGUCAAUGGAACGGAGUCAAUGGAACGGAGUCAAUGGAAUGGAGUCAAUGGAACGGAGUCAAUGGAACGGAAUCAAUGGAACGGAGUCAAUGGAACGGAAUCAAUGGAACGGAGUCAAUGGAACGGAGUCAAUGGAACGGAGU